rnacentral:rRNA from 1 species
CCUACGGGUGGCAGCAGUGGGGAAUAUUGGACAAUGGGCGAAAGCCUGAUCCAGCAAUGCCGCGUGUGUGAAGAAGGCCUUCGGGUUGUAAAGCACUUUAGGCUGGAAAGAAAAAGCUUUGGCUAACAUCCAAAGCCUUGACGGUACCAGCAGAAUAAGCACCGGCUAACUCUGUGCCAGCAGCCGCGGUAAUACAGAGGGUGCAAGCGUUAAUCGGAUUUACUGGGCGUAAAGCGUGCGUAGGUGGCGGUGUAAGUCGGAUGUGAAAGCCCUGGGCUUAACCUGGGAACUGCAUUCGAUACUGCAUUGCUAGAGUUCGGUAGAGGGCGGCGGAAUUCCGGGUGUAGCGGUGAAAUGCGUAGAUAUCCGGAGGAACACCGAUGGCGAAGGCAACCGCCUGGGCCUGAACUGACACUGAGGCACGAAAGCGUGGGGAGCAA